rnacentral:rRNA from 1 species
GUCCUUUUGAGUUUAAUUUAAGGUCUAACCUGCCCACUGAAAUUUUUUGAAGGGCCGCAGUAAUUUGACUGUGCAAAGGUAGCAUAAUCAUUAGUUUUUUAAUUGAAAGCUUGUAUGAAGGGUUGGACGAGGUAAAUUCUGUCUCUAUUUAAUUUUAUAUAGAAUUUAAUUUUUAAGUUAAAAAGCUUAAAUUUUUUUAAAAGACGAGAAGACCCUAUAGAUCUUUAUAUUAAAAGUAUUAAUUUUAAUUAAGAAUAUUUAAUUUUUUAGUAUUUAUAAUAUUUUAUUGGGGUAAUGAAAAGAUUAAAUUAAUUCUUUUUUUAUUUUAACAUUUAUUUAUGAUUAUAUGAUCCAAUUUUAUUGAUUAAAAGAUUAAGUUACCUUAGGGAUAACAGCGUAAUUUUUUUAGAGAGUUCAUAUCGAUAAAAAAGUUUGCGACCUCGAUGUUGGAUUAAAAAUUAUCUUAGGUGUAGAAGUUUAAGAUUUUGGUCUGUUCGACCAUUAAAUUUUU